rnacentral:misc_RNA from 1 species
GAUGAAGAACGUAGCGAAAUGCGAUAAGUAAUGUGAAUUGCAGAAUUCAGUGAAUCAUCGAAUCUUUGAACGCACAUUGCGCCCCCUGGUAUUCCGGGGGGCAUGCCUGUUCGAGCGUCAUUUCACCACUCAAGCCUCGCUUGGUAUUGGGCAACGCGGUCCGCCGCGUGCCUCAAAUCGACCGGCUGGGUCUUCUGUCCCCUAAGCGUUGUGGAAACUAUUCGCUAAAGGGUGUUCGGGAGGCUACGCCGUAAAACAACCCCAUUUCUAAGGUUGACCGCGGAUCAGGUAGGGAUACCCGCUGAACUUAAGCAUAUCAAUAAGCGGAGGA